GGGUGGAUAGCUCAGCCUGGGAGAGCAUUACGCUGAAGACGUAGGGGUCGGGUGUUCAAAUCACCCUCCGCCCA
rnacentral:tRNA from 1 species